rnacentral:pre_miRNA from 1 species
AAUAAAGUUAUUUUUUAGUUUUUGGAUACAAUGUUUUGACUCUUCAUCUUAUUUAAAAUUUUUUAUGAUUAUAUUUUUAUUUUUACUAGAUCAUAAAAUAUAAAUAUUACUUUAUGCGUGACUAAUUUUUUUAAAUUUUUUUAUAAUUUUUCAAAUAAGAUGAAUAGUUAAAGCAUCGGACACAGAAAUCGAAAAAUAAAUCGAAA